rnacentral:rRNA from 1 species
CCUACGGGAGGCAGCAGUAGGGAAUCUUCCACAAUGGACGAAAGUCUGAUGGAGCAACGCCGCGUGAGUGAAGAAGGUUAUCGGCUCGUAAAGCUCUGUUGUUAGUGACGAAUGAUUGACGUAGUAACUGGCCUUUGUUUCACGUUAAUUACUUCGAAAGUCAGCGCUAACUAGGUGCCAGCAGGCGCUGUAAUACGUAGGUGGGAGGCGUUGUCCGGAUUUUUUGGGCGUAAAGCGAGUGCAGGCGGUUCAAUAAGUCUGAUGUGAAAUCCUUCGGCUUAACUGGAGUAUUGCAUCAGAAACUGUUGAACUUGAGUGCAGAAGAGGAGAGUGGAACUCCAUGUGUAGCGGUGGAAUGCGUAGAUAUAUGGAAGAACACCAGUGGCGAAGGCGACUAUCUGGUCUGCAACUGACGCUGAGGCUCGAAAGCAUGGGUAGCGAACAGGAUUAGAUACCCGAGUAGUC